CCUACGGGGGGCUGCAGUGGGGAAUUUUGGACAAUGGGGGCAACCCUGAUCCAGCAAUGCCGCGUGUGUGAAGAAGGCCUUCGGGUUGUAAAGCACUUUUGUCCGGAAAGAAAGCGCUCUGGUUAAUACCUGGGGCGGAUGACGGUACCGGAAGAAUAAGCACCGGCUAACUACGUGCCAGCAGCCGCGGUAAUACGUAGGGUGCGAGCGUUAAUCGGAAUUACUGGGCGUAAAGCGUGCGCAGGCGGUUUUGUAAGACAGGCGUGAAAUCCCCG
rnacentral:rRNA from 1 species